ensembl:snoRNA
GCCAUGAUGACUUCCUGGUUUUGAUCAGCGAUGAAAGAACCUGAUCCUCUAAGAAGUUCUGAGCUC